rnacentral:lncRNA from 1 species
CCGAAAUUUGAACUUAGGCAAGGAGUGGGCAUGAACAAUCGAGCCAUGAUGUGGGGAUACUUCCUAAUCGACUGAUUCUCGCGCCUCCAAGUGACUCCAGGUCCUUGGUUAGUAUUCCUGCGAACUUUCACUAAUGGGGAGCAGCGUUGCUGCGUUCGCUUAACCUUUCGGUCCAUGGUCACUAUGGUUCUUUCACGAAGGUGAGGCUCUUGUGGAACUCGAUUUCGUCGAGGAGGAUUACAAGAGUCUCGUCGAAUAGAUACUUCUGCAAGUUCGGGACACGUCGGGUAGAAUGUACUUUACCAAACUCGCGGGAGUAGAUUGAAGUUGCGAUUACAAGGCUGAUUCUUACAAGAAUCUCGAAAGGCAUAAUUAUCUGGGGUUUUGGCUUUCCACGCUCUCCAAAGCGUACUAAACCUGCCCAGAGUGAGGUUUCCAGAGGAAUUUGGUCUCUUAUUCUGGAGUUCCAAAGGUUUCUUCCUUUUGCUUUUCUUUCCAGUCAAGGGUUGCUCCUUUAUGGUCAAAGUCGUAAGGGGAUUCUGAAAUUUACGAGAAGUCCCAAAGGGACUAAGACGGUAAGUCAGCGAGACCUGAAAGUUUUGGGGUAUUCCUACUGACGUCUUUUGCGCUGACUGUUUUCUCAACGGUUUCGAUCAAUUGAAAGAGUCCUUAAGGAUUUCCACAUUGAUAAGGAUGUGUCUUAGGAAUUUGAGUCCUCAAUUCCAAAACUCGUAUCUAGAGAACUUCGGGUAAAGUUUCUCUGAUCGCAUUGCUUUCGCGGUUUGUUGUAGCUGCUCUCCCUGGUUUCCUUCUUACUAUGAGGGUAGAUAAGCAAGUCACUUACAAUGACAACGACGAACUGAUCCUAGUAAGAAUGGCACAUCCUAUGAAUACUGCGAACGGGUUGGUCCUAUCCGAGGGGUAUCACUACGGACUUGCAGCGUCCGCAUCGAAUUUGGAGGGUUGUCCUCGGACAUCCUUUUCCAAUACUCGCGAAUGGUGAUAUUCAGAUCUCAGGUCCGAUACCUGAAGGAUACCUCUUUCCUUGUGGUUGGUCGGCCUAUUCGUUUAUGCGAGGCAGGUAGUAAAGGUUUCUACUGAAGAUAUUGUCGGGGCCUCUGAAGUUGAUGGAACUAUGAGCAAUUUGCCUUUCUAUUUGAAGAAUAAGAUCAGAUGUUUUCCAGGGUGAGAAGCUUGGUUCUUCAAUUUCCUUUUUGAGUAGUUCGACAGGUUUGGACCUGAUAGUUUUUGUAGCUCGGUAGGAAACAUGUGGGUUUGGUUUACACGACUAGGCCUUCUUAGAUGGUAGGACAUUUAUUCGUCCCUCUGGGCAACCUUGGCCCGAAGUUCAAGGUAGGACUCGUAUCCAGUCUAUUUAUCAUUAACUUGCACAUAUAGGUCGUAUGCGUUUAAGAUUGGCAAGGUAGUUGGAUGGGUGACUCUGCCCCAAAUAAACAACCAGACAUGGAAUAGGAAAUAAGGCGGAAACACCCAUCCGAUGUCUGUAGAAUCUUAAUUAUACAUUAUCCUCGCGUAUACACGUAGUAGUGGUAAACUAACCAUAUUCGUCCCAAGCUUCUGUGCUUGAACCUUGUCCGCUACAUGCGUGACAUUCCCGAAAGUCUCCUGUAAAUACUUGUGGUAGGUUUUCAGGAAGUGUAACACUUCUCUGGUGCGUGCUUUGGGAUCUAACCACGAGAGAUGAACCGGAGAUACAUGCUAGGUUCUUAUGUGAGGAAAAGGUCACGACAUUCGGAGGGUUAGGUGAAAAGCCCUUUUGUAGAUGUUAAAUCGGGAAGGUGAGGAUUAUACUUAAUUGAAAUUGAAUGGAGACGACCAAAUCUUUUUAGAUAACAUGAGCCAGGCUGUACUUAUAAGAAGAGAUCACUAAAGUGAUGGAGUAUCUUGUGUUUCUUUUUAGGGUGAUCCAUUUUGUUUGAUGUUAUCA